AUUGAGCGCUAGCGGGAUGCUUUACACAUGCAAGUCGAACGAGUGGCGGACGGGUGAGUAAUAUAUCGGAACGUGCCCAGUAGCGGGGGAUAACUAAUCGAAAGAGUGGCUAAUACCGCCUACUAUUGGAGCGGCCGAUAUCGGAUUAGCUAGUUGGUGGGGUAAAGGCUCACCAAGGCAACGAUCCGUCGCGGGUUUGAUAGGACGACCAGCCACACUGGGACAGAGACACGGCCCAGACCCCGCCGUGAGGCAGCAGUGGGGAAUUUUGGACAAUGGGGGAAACCCUGAUCCAGCCAUCCCGCGUGUAUGAGAAGGCCUUCGGGUUGUAAAGUACUUUUGGCAGAGAAGCGGUAUCUGCAGAAUAAGCACCGGCUAACUACGGGCCAGCAGCCGCGGUAAUUC
rnacentral:rRNA from 1 species